UUGAGUCCACAGUUUGCUUCUUGUGAGGUGACUUGUCUUUUGAGCCAAGUGCAUCACACGGCACAUUAAGGGGAUCCUUAUCUGUAAAAGUGCCUGGACCUGAUAUACUAUUGAAAGCAGCAGAAGCUACAAGUAAAGACACAGGAUACAGCAAGUUCCAGAUUGAACACAGCAGAAGAAGCUACAAGUGAAGACUCAGCAA
rnacentral:lncRNA from 1 species